CUACCAGGAGGGAAGGAUCUCUUUCUGGAGAUUCCUCCUUUGGAGUUUUACAGUGAGUGUAAGAUAAAGAUGGAAAACUCUUUCAGCCUUAUCCUCAGAUGCACAACUCAGAUGCACCAUGAACAGUUCUGGAUACAGCACUGCAAGCAACUUCAUGGGCAUGAAUACUGGUAGGAACAAAUGAAGAGCAACACAAUAGGCCUUUCCAAGUCUGUUGGUGCGAAGUUAACAGAUGAGGGGAUCUGGACCUCACACAGAUUCUCUGCCAACUGCAGUACAUACCUCAUUGUCACUGAAUUCCAUCUCAUCCCACUACAAGAAGCCAUGACACAAACUGUAUCCUAUUCAUAAAUUCAAAUUGCACUUAUAACUACUGCAUUAUUUCCCUGUAUUCAUACUGAAAGGUUUUAUUCAGAAUCUUCUAACUUCCAGAUUCAAACUUCUCAUGAGCCUUUUGCUUUGGGUCUUACCGCCAAUAAAAAUAAAAAAAAAAAAAAGAGCUGUCCAUGUCCAUGGCAUUGGCAGAUUGGCAGACAGCAAUGCUGUUCCUCAAAGUGUUCUAUCUGCUGGAUGAUGUUUUGAUUUUAAAAAAAUUCUCUUUUCAUGAUUUAUUUAUUUGAUUUUCUUAACGACCCUUCCUUAAAUUCAUUCAAGUUUGAAUCUAUUUUUGUCACAUAGGAUCUUCCAAAAUGUGGACAGAAUUUGUGAUGAGAAAUCAGUGCUAUAGCAACCGUAUUUCAGUGUAUAUACUUGAGGUGCUUUAAGACACUUUUCUCAGAUAAUAUCCAGGUGGGUCCACAGGCUGCUACUGAGUCACAGUAGUAUUGAAAACAAUAUUCCCAAAUAUUUCUUCUUGUUUGCAACUGAUAAGAACUUUACAUAAUUUUGUGUGUGUUUCCUUAUGUCUAAAACAUGAAGAAAAAGGAUUUACUUUCACCUUUGUUUUUGUUCUUUUUUAUUUACAAAGAUAAAAUGGAUUUUUAUAAAGGAGAGAUAAAUAACUAAUAAUAAUAACAAGUAUACAAAUAAUUUUCCCUUCAGAGUGUUACCUAGUCCUGUGUAUUCUACAGUAUGUUUAUGAGUGCAUUGAAAUAUUUCUAAAACUGAAAUUGAGUUUUAUUGACAUAGAACAUAACUAGAGAUUAAGAACACACAUUGUACAAAAUUUCUUAUAUGGAUUUUCUUUCUUAUUUUAAUCUGUGCUUACAGUAACUCAUAUGAAUUUGGAUGUUCUUAAUGACUCAUGUAGUGUAAUUACUUCUUUACAAAAAUGUCGUUAGUUUUUUUUCCAGCCAUAUCUAAAGUGACCCUAUCCUAUCAUUUUGUGAUGUUUUUAUUCACUUCUUUUGAACAUUUACAAUGUUUAAUCAAAAUGUUCUUUAUCUGUUUUUUAAUUUGUUAAAAUUUGUCAUCAAUCUUCACACUUUGUAAGGCAGAAGGAAAUAGUGUCCAUCAUUAGAGCAAACCAUGGAACAUUCUUUUGAAAGAAGAAAUGAUUAAACCAGCUUAGUUA